GAGAGAGACAUGCGCGCAUAUCAAUAAGCGGAGGAAAAGAAACUAACAAGGAUUCCCUUAGUAACGGCGAGUGAAGCGGGAAGAGCUCAAAUUUGAAAUCUUCAAGGUUUUACCUUGACGAAUUGUAGUUUAAAGAAGUGUUUUCUGCUGAAGUUUUGGUAAAAGUUCUUUGGAAUAGGACAUCAUAGAGGGUGAGAAUCCCGUAUUUGACCAUUAUUUUCAGCUUUGUGAUACACUUUCAAAGAGUCGGAUUGUUUGGGAAUGCAGUCCAAAAUGGGUGGUAAAUUUCAUCUAAAGCUAAAUAUUGGCGAGAGACCGAUAGCGAACAAGUACCGUGAGGGAAAGAUGAAAAGAACUUUGAAAAGAGAGUUAAACAGUACGUGAAAUUGUCAAAAGGGAAGCGUUUGACACCAGUGUUGUUUUCUCGAAAAUCAAUUAAAAAUGGCUCGAUUUUGUAUUGCUGAGACCUUAAAAGCUCACUGUACAUUUUUCGUGUCUUUUUUAAUGCACUUUUCGUUUAACGAGUCAACAUCAGUUUCUUUCGUUGUAAAAGGGUCAUUGGAAGGUGGCUUUCUUUUCGGAGAAAGUGUUUAUAGCCUUUGGCCUCUGCAAUCGAAGAGACUGAGGUCUGCAGCGUAGACUCUUCGGGGUUAGAUACAUUUGUGCUAAGUUAUAGCUUUUUAUAGACAACUUGUUGACUAUAAUUAGUCUUGUAGCUUACUCGCUUAUGCUAUUUUACCUACGCUUAGGAUGUUGAAGAUGUAGCACAUCAU
rnacentral:rRNA from 1 species